AACGAACGCUGGCGGCAGGCUUAACACAUGCAAGUCGAACGCUCAUCUUCGGAUGGGAGUGGCAGACGGGUGAGUAACACGUGGGAACGUACCCCUUUGUUCGGAAUAACCCUGGGAAACUAGGGCUAAUACCGGAUACGGCCGGAAGGCGAAAGGUUUACCGCAGAGGGAUCGGCCCGCGUCCGAUUAGCUAGUAGGUGAGGUAACGGCUCACCUAGGCGACGAUCGGUAGCUGGUCUGAGAGGAUGGCCAGCCACAUUGGGACUGAGACACGGCCCAAACUCCUACGGGAGGCAGCAGUGGGGAAUAUUGGACAAUGGGCGCAAGCCUGAUCCAGCCAUGCCGCGUGAGUGAUGACGGCCUUAGGGUUGUAAAGCUCUUUUGCCUGGGAAGAUAAUGACGGUACCAGGAGAAUAAGCCCCGGCUAACUUCGUGCCAGCCGCCGCAGUAACAC
rnacentral:rRNA from 1 species